rfam:Gorilla gorilla gorilla genomic chromosome, chr21, whole genome shotgun sequence
GCCAGGCAUGGUGGCGCAUACCUGUAGUCCCAGCUACUUGGGAGGCUGAGGCAGGAGGAUUGCCUGAGCCAGGGAGGUUGAGGCUGUAGUGAGCUAUGAUUGCGCCACUGCACUCCAGCCUGGGCAACAGAGUGAGACCCUGUCUCAA